UACGUAGGGGGCGAGCGUUGUCCGAAGUUACUGGGCGUAAAGCGCGCGUAGGCGGGCCGUUAAGUGGGAGGUGAAAGGCCGGGGCUCAACCCCGUGCAGUGCCUCCCAUACUGGCGGUCUUGAGGGCGGUAGGGAGAAGUGGAAUGGCUGGUGUAGCGGUGAAAUGCGUAGAUAUCUGGAGGAACACCGGUGGCGAAGGCGGCAUUCUGGACCACAACUGACACUGAGAGACGAAAGCCAGGGGAGCAAACGGG
rnacentral:rRNA from 1 species